UUCCCCCGUUUCUUCCUCCCCCCCCCGCUCCCGGAGGGAUGGGGAGAAGAAUUGAAAGAAUAUAACUCCCACGGGUUGAGAGAAGAACAGUGCAGUAACUAAGGUAUAA